rnacentral:lncRNA from 1 species
UUAUAUAUAUGUCUUUGUGUUGAGAUGCAAACUCUUCUCGAGAACUAUUGAGGCUUGAGUAACACUUAACCAUCUUGACUACGAUCCAAAUAUACUAUUAUCCGCCCUCUUCAAGCCUGCAGAGGUGAGCUUCUCAAAUCCCUUUUGGGUUUAAGUUAUUACCUUUACUCGAUUACUGGUGUAUAUGGCUCCCGAUAUGGAUUCCGAUGUAAUUAACAUAUUAGCAAUGAUGUAUGGUGGAAUCGGAUGUUUUGUGGCUUGGAAGCAUGGCACUAGACCAAUGCUACCGCCGAUUCAAUUCAGAUGAUGAUUCAGACAUGCUGACCUUAUUGUUGUUUAUUUUACUUAAUGAUAAGUAAGACUGAAUGAAUUGUUGCCAUUAAAUCUAUAUCUUCUUAAAAUUGCUAUAUCAUAGUCCCUUAUAAAUAUCUGAAAUUUCAAGUUUGAACUAUCUAUUGAUAAUCAUUAACUUGAAUGAAAUGAACAUUGCGAAUUUGUGAAAUGGUGGCGCUUAUUUUGUUCAGUUGAUGGUUGCCUCAGUUGUAUUUAGUUACAGUAUGCCUUCUAUUUUAUAAAUUAGGCGGUGAUGCAUGAGGAAGAGGCAAGAAUUUCAUGGUUUGGGUGGUAAGCUAUUAAUAGCAUUGCAGCCACCAUGAAAUCAUUAUUACCAUCUUUUCCCUGAGCCAUAUUGAUAUAAUAUAGUAUAUACUUUAUGACAACUUCUUAAUUUCUUCUUCCAUGCAUAUGUGUCCCCUUCAGAUGGUCGUGCAAAACAGACCGCAAAUUGUGAAGUAAGGAAAAAUUAUAACAUCAUUGAAAUCGCAUCAACCGAAAGCCAAAGCAACAAAAGUCACGAUCAUGAAACAUCCAAAACUAGAGUACGAUAUGGAAAUUGGACAGAGGUCAUGAGUUCUGCUAUACUGAACUUGAUGACUGAAGAACAUGUUCUCGAUAAUUUUGUAAAUGGAAGUUCCACUUCAUUGGCUUGGACAAGAAUUGUUCAUGACUUUAAUGCGCGAACUAAAGUGAAUUUUGCCAAAAGCCAUCUUCAAAAUCGUUUGAAAGUAUUGAAGUGGCAAUUCAUUAUAUACCAAACAUUGGCUAACAAGAGUGGAUGGGGAUGGGAUUACGAUCGUAACAUUCUGAUAGCCAGAGAUCCGAGUGAUUGGGAUGCGGUGGUAGCGGUGUGUUAUUUAACCAUUCUAUUAAAUUAAUUUUUAAACAAUAUGAUAAUAAUAUUGUGACAUGACCAUUGUGGCAUACUUUUUUGGCAGGAAAACCCAACUUAUUCGAGGCGUAAGGACAAACCCUUCCCUGCAUAUCAAGACAUUGCUUUUCUAUCUAGAAAAACCACUGCCCAGUGAGGAUGUUCGCAACACAUCCUCAUCUUCUCUGGGUACAAACGCAAUACUACAACAAAUUACAAAUUCUAUAGCAGGCCCUUCUGGCUUUGGCCAAUCAUCUGCGGCUCAACUUUAUUGUUGUCUCCGGCGAAUGAAGAAAGGCCUAAUAAUCCAACUUUCUAUUCCCCUACUCCAACUCCAAUGAAAAGUGAAAAAUUUGAACAGUAGCCACACUUCAGUCCAUACUUCUUCUGGUAAGAGACGACGUUUGUCACCUCCUUCAAGUAGUACACCAACAUCAAUCCAUAAGGGAAGACUUGAGUGCACCUUUGAUGCCAUCCAAGAGCUGGCCAAUCUCGGCAAGAAGCGAUUGAACAUCGUCGAGCAAAUGCUACAGCGUGAGCUCGACGCACGUCCAAAGGUGCACUCUAUAGAGGAGUGUAUGGUAAGAUUGUAUGAUAUUCUAAAUCUGUCCCUAGAAGCUAUCCUCUCUACAUGCGAAGCAUUCAAAGAUAACCUCAACAGAUCGAUCUUUAUGUCACUGAGUGGCGAUAUUCUUUAUAUGUGAAUCAAUCGUCAAAUGGUCAUGCAAAGGGCAGUCGUUGGCCAUAAAUCUGGUGCACCUUCCUUCCGUCCUAACUAGAUAAAAAACUUUCCUACUCUACUAUUAGUUUUUGGUCACCUUGCAUAGAAACUUAAUAUAUCUUGGAUGCAUCGUAUGGUUAGUUGAUGAACAACUCGACAUUUUUUGGUUUGUUGUCGGCCAUAGUGUAACAAAUAGAGUGCUCGCUUGAAAUGUUUCAGCACUCAGGGGAGACUAUAGAUAUUUUAAUAAUAUUUUGCAUGGUGUGGUUGAACUUCAACAUGAUUAUAUAACUGCCAAGUGGUAAUGCUAGGAUACACCCCAAAAUUAGGGAUAACCCAUUAUUUCCCUUCAAGGUGAUAUUAGUUAUGUUAUAUUUGGUUUAGAUUUGUAGUUAUCUAAAUUGAGGAUAAAUCCUAAUCUAAUUGGGAUUAGAUAUUAUUUAGAUUUAAUUUGGCAUAUAUGGAUUAUGAGUCGGAAUCUAAUUUCUAAUUGAAUUAGGAUUAGACUCUAUUUAGGAGACAUGUAUUAUAAAUAUAUGCUACGGCCAAAUUAAUCGCCGCGACCAAAUUAAGAUGCCAC